CUUGUUGAUUUUUCCAUUCGCGGAGCGUUGACUUUAUGUGCAGCCUUGUGCAGGACAAAUCCAAGUCUAUUAAGCAUUACAGAUGACCUCUUCUUAUUCACUUGUCUAACAUCCUUUCCAUUGUGAUUGUGUCGUUGCUGGAACCUUCCGAUUCACCAUCUUCUUUGCUCUCUCCAUAUUCAUUUGGAUGGUCAGCUAGUCGAGCUUUUACAUAGUCAUUGAUGCGUUGGCGACCCUGGACGAAAUAUGAUAUUAAUAAUGGAAAAAGAAAAAGAAAGAUAAAUGUUACAAUUUUGUUAAGACAUUUGAUUCCAAUUUGGUCAAUCUCGAAGGUUAAAUUACAUCUUGAAGACUUUCAAUGUCAAAAAUUAAACAAUCAAGUCCAUCAA